UUUUUUUUUUUUUUUUUUUUUUUGGUUUAGUAGUGGGGAGAGAGUUUGUUUGGAUUAUAUGUAUUUACAUGUGAAAUCAAUCUGGGUUCCUGAAAAAAAAAAAAAGAGAAAUCAAUCUGGGAAUUUAUGGAUUGCAGUUGUGGCGCCAGGAGGCACGGGCAAUCAAAAUCUAUCUACCUACCUAUUACUCCCUCCGUCCCACUUUAAUAGUUCUAUAUUUCUUUUUCAUCUGUCCCAAAUUAUAGUCCACUUUCCAAUUGAAAAAUAUAGUUAUAUUUUAAUUUUCCUAAAAUAUCCUUAUUCAAUGCAAGUAGUUGUUACUAUAAACCUAACACAUUUAAUGAGAGUUGAUUCUUUUUUCACCAUCAAUUCAAGUUCUCAUAAAGUUGUACCAUAUUUAAUGUGAGGGUAUUUUAGGAAAAUAGCAAUCUAAAUUUACUUUUCUAACAAAAUUAAUUACUUUUUUUUAAAUUGUGUGAAAAAAGAUACAGGACUAUCAAAGUGGGACGGAGGGAGUAUAUAAGAAAGAAGCGAGAUUACUGUAGCAGUCUCUAUGACUGUCAAAUGGCUCCCAUUUAGUUUGACAUGUGGAUCAUUAAUCCUUUGAAGAAGCUAUCUAUAUUAUUUUUCCUUUUUCUUUUGGUUUUCUUUUUUCCCUCAUUUCUUCUUUCCUUUUUGGCAAAAGACAACAACCACAAGAAUCUUUAUCCUUAUCUACACUAUCACUUGCACGUUCAAUUUUCACUCUGUUCUCUUUUCAUUUUUUUUCUCUUUUUUUUGCUUCACCCUAAUCGUUUACUCUGCUUUUGUUUUUUCUAUUGAAUUAGUUGAUGCAUUUUUUUUUCAAAAUUUUCAUAAUUAACUAAAUGAAUGGUUUUUGUUGUUGGAGUGGAUGAGGGAAGACAGCAAUUUUUGUUGAGGGAAGCUAACAAUUUUUCCUCAAUUGAAAUUCAUUCCAAUUUUAGUUUUCAUUUAUUAAAAUUGUUAUUUAAUAAUAGGCUAAUAGUGCUGGAAUGAAGGAGGAAGAAUUUGACAAGUGAAGAUCCAAGAUAAAUGAUGACUAGGAAGGAAAUAGAGAGGUCUAUUUUUUAGUGAGAUUACUGUAGCAGUCUCUAUGACUGUCAAAUGACUCCCAUCUAGUUUGACAUGUGGCUCAUUAAUCAUUUGAGAAAGCUAUCUAUAUUUUUUUCCCUUUUUCUUUUGGUUUUCUUUUUCCCUUCAUUUCCUUUUUCCUUUUUGGCAAAAAACAACAACCACAAGAACCUUCAUCCUCAUUUAUACUAUCACUUGCACGUUUAAUUUUCACUCUGUACUCUUUUCAUUUUUUUCCUCUUUUUUUUGCUUCGCCCUAAUCGUUUACUCUGCUUUUGUUUUUUCUAUUGAAUUAGUUGAUGCAUUUUUUUUUAAAAUUUCCAUAAUUAACUAAAUGAAUGGUUUUGUUGUUGGAGUGGAUGAGGGAAGAUAGCAAUUUUUGUUGAGGGAAGAUAACAAUUUUUCCUCAAUUGAAAUUCAUUCCAAUUUUAGUUUUCAUUUAUUAAAAUUGUUAUUUGAUAAUAGGCUGAUAGUGCUAGAACAAAGGAGGAAUAAUUUGAAAAGUGAAGAUCCAAGAUGAGUGAUGACUGGGAAGGAAAUAGAGAGGUCUAUUGAAUUUAAAAUUAAUCAAAGUCUGUUAAUUUAUAGAUAGAUAAUUAUAUUUCCAUAUUUUGAUUUAUUUAAAAUUUCUUAAUAGCGACAAAUGGUUAUUUACUAGAUGAGAACGAUGAUAUGUAAAGGAAUUGUUAGGGCUACUAACUUAGGAUAUGAAUAAAAUAUUUCGUAUAAUCUCUUCAUUUUGGGUUACUGACUUGUAUCCAUGAUAGGUGGUUUAUUUUCAUAGUAUGAUAGUUUGAGAAGACAAGAAGUGCAGAAUUAGAUUUUAAAAUCAUUUGCUUAAGUUGGUUCUAUGAAUUUGUUUUUUUUUUUAUCACUUUUAUUGUCCUAAUGAUAAUAUAAGGUAGAUGUGGAACUGGAUAUAUCAUGACUAUUUGGCUGAAGUAGUUGAUAAUUUUUUAUAAACUCAAGUAGCUGAAUUGAUUGCUGUUGUUAAGGAAUUGCAAUUAGUGGUGGAAGUCAAAAUUGAGACUUUUAACCUAGAGAGUGAUUUGACAAAAAAUUUGUUAAAAAAUUCAAUCUUGAUUAAUAAGAUAUUUUUGCGAUCAAAUAAAUGGUUGGUUUCGAAUUUGUACAUGUACAUUUGCAAACAUGGCAGUUCAUAUUUUUAUCUAAUAUUGCUAUUUGUAUUCUCAAACUGUUUGGCAGAUAAUGUUAUCACCUAUUUGUAAUGCUAUUAAAAAGGAUUUAAAUGGAUGGAUUAACAACUCGCCUUUUCUCUAAAAAAGACAAAAAAACAAUGUGUAGGUUUGUAUGUUUUGAAAAGGAUAGAAAAAUAUGCAAGUUUGUAUGUUUUAUUGAUGUUGAAAAUUGUGACAGAUCUUGGCAAUUUUCUAAACUUUUUUCUAAUUAUUAAACUGCUAGAAGUAUUAUGACUACUUUUGGUUUAGUCACAAUUAAAGCUAUGCUGCCAUUAAAUUGGCAAUGUAGUGUACUUAUUAUCUCUCCUUUUUUUGGUAUUAUUAUGCACACAUAGAAUUGGUUCAAAAAUCUUUGUCCAAAUCACAAUAAAUAGCAGACUAACUUCAUAAACGAAAUUUCUCUUCAUAGCAAAUUUUAAUUGUUUUGAUGCUCAAAAUUUCUCCUGUAUUUACCAAAAAGAUUUAUUGCUCUAUGUUUAACUAAACUUCUAAGGGGCACAGCACGGCCAAGAUACAUCUACUAGUAGUAUAAAUAUGGUGUAGAAAACAAAAUGUAUUAGUGGACUGAGAUUUUUUUUCCUUUUUAUUUAACCAAAAAUUUUUUUUUUUUACUUUUUCUGUUGUCAUGCUUUUGGGGCAGGUUAUAGGGUACCCGCCCUUAAAAAAAAUAUUUUCCAAUAAAAAAUAUUUUUCAUUUAAUAUCAAUAUGUUUUCCAAUAAAAAAAGUAUGCUUUCCAAUUAACAUUGGUAGAGAUAUUAUAAUCAAAAUCCAUGCAUCACCAUUCUCACACAUUUCAUCCAAUAAUCAAACCGAUUUCAUAAAUUUAGUACAUAUUAGAAUUAUAAUAUCUAAUAAAUAAAAUGAAAUUUUAUGAUAAUUUAGAGUACAUCAUCAUUCUCAGGCAUUUCAUCCUCUACAACAUAACAAACACAAGAAUAAUAAGUAUAUGACAACUUUUCCAAGUAUAACAAACACAAGGAUAAAACGAAGUUUUAUAAUAAUUUUGAGUACAUCACCAUUCUCACGCAUUUCAUCAUUUUACAACAGAACAAACACAAGGAUAAUAAGUAUAUGGCAACUUUUCCAACUUCCUUAAGGAUGUUAUGGUACAAGAUUGCACUUAAAAUGAGUCGAUUGUGGAAUCAUGUCCGGAAAGAAAUUGAACAGAGCUAAUAAUUUUUGAAGAAAGUAUAACCAAAAUAAUCUUGAAAAAUUUUCUCCAACUUUUACCAAAAUAAUUUUGAAAAAUUUUUUCCAACUUUUUUACAUCUUUGGAAUAGGCCUUUUGCAUUAAAGGUGAUGAAAAGAAAAAUAAAUUUCUUGCACUAAAAUAAAGGAGACAAAUUUAAGAGACACAAUUGCAAUAAAAUAAAUAAAUAAAUGAAAGACACAAAUUCGAUUUGAGUAUUCAAAUGGGUGAUAGGUGGAAUAAUGUCUAUGCAAGUUGGAUUUUGAGAUUUUGCCUGAUUAUAAUUAAUCUAGGUCAGUUGCUUGGAAUCCAUCUGAGAUUGUUAAAAAUCUGGAAUAUUGUCAAUGACUUUAAUGGUAGAUAAGUGGUGUUUUGUAGAAAGAAAGGGGUCAAUUAGACAUUGAAACUUAGGUUCUACAAAUCACAAGAAUUACUAGAGAGCAUAUUGCACCAAGGUUCAUUUGGAGGUUGUUUUGUCAUGAUUUAGAUGAAUUGUGCAGAUUUUUGUCCUUUGCAGGCAAAUAUAGGACUCUCAUGUAAUGUAGUUGCAACUUGACGUUUGAUUUGAGUAUUUAAAUGAUGGGUGGUGGGUGGAACAGAGUAUAUGCACAUUGUAUUGGAUUCUGUGAUUUUGUUUGGAUUCUAAUUAAUUUCAGUGAGUUCCUAGGAAUCUAUUUGGGUUUGUAAAAAAUCUGGAAUGUUGUCAAUGACUUUAAUACGUGGUGCUUUUGGAGAAAAGAUAAAAGGUUAAUUAGAAACCGAAACUUAGGUUCUGGAAAUCCCAAGAAUUACAAGAAAGCAUGUUGCACCAAGGUUUAUAGGUUGGUUUUUUACGAUUCUAUAAGGUUAAUGGCAAAGAGUAGCAAGAACACACUAAAGUUUAGUUUGAAAUUUUUUAGACUGUAUAUCCUUUGCUGGUAUAUAUAGGACUCGUAUGUAAGGAGGUUGCACUUUGGGAGGAACAAAGUGUACGUGCAUCUUGUUGCAAACUAAUUGAUUACUUGGAAUUUAUUUAUGAGUUGUUAGAUAUUUGGAGUAUUGCCUAUGAAUUUUACAAGCAAUUAGUAGUGUUCUGGUUAAAUAGGUGGAGAAAAGAAAAAUAUGUUUGAGAAAUCCCAAGAAUUACAAGUAUUGCCACAAGGUUCAUUUGGAAACAUUUUUUAGAAUUCUACAAGGCUUAAGGUAACCAGAACUUUCCAUGUUUAGUUAGAAGUUUGCUGUGUUAAUUGUGCAGAGUUAGUUCCUUUGUAGGCAUUUAGAGGAGUCAUAAACAAGGAUAUUGCACUUCGGGAUUUAAUUGAUUGGCCUGAUGGUGACACAAGGAAUUGAAUAUCGCAUCUUUUGGAUUCUGUCUAAUUUAAUUGAUUGGCCAGAUGGUGACACAAGGAACUGAAUAUCGCAUCUUUUGAAUUCUGCCUAAUUUAGGUGAGUUACUUGGGAUUUAUCUACUGGUUUGUUACAAAUUUCGAGUAUUGUCAGUAAUUUCAUGGUAGAAGUAGUAUUGAAUUGAAAUAGAUGGACAAAAAAGAAACGGUAUUUAGAAUCAGAAAAAUGGUAUAUAGACAAGGAUGAUUAGAAGUUUGAGUUGUGUGGAGUUUUGCCCUUUGCAGGCACAUAUAGGACUCUUGUGUAAGGACAUUGCACUUUAGAGUAUCCGUUGAAUACUCAAAUGGUGAUAGGAGGAACAAAGUAUGUGCGCGUGCUAUUGGAUUCUAAUUAAUUUAGGUGAGUUGCUUGGAAUUUAUUUCUAGGUUGUUAAAGUUUGGCGUAUUGUCAUUGAAUACUAUGAUAGAUUACUGGUGUUCCGGUUGAAUGGAGAAAAGAGAAAAGGUCAUGUAGCGCAGAAACUUAGGUUCAGAAAUCCCAAGGAUUACAGGCAGGCAUAUUACAGCAACGUUCAUUUGUAGUUGCUUUUUAACCUUUGUGCAAGGCUUAAGGCAGAGAGCAACUACAACAUACCAAGUUUAAUUAGAAGUUUACUGGUGUCGUGCAGACUUAGGUAUCAAUUGAAUAUACAAAUGGUGACAGGAAGAGCAAAGUUUAUGUUGUAUCUUGUUGGUCAAGGUGAGUUUUUGGGAAUUUAUUUGUGGGUUAUUAAAUAUCUGGAGUAUUGCCAAUGAAUUUUACAGUUGAUCUAGUUAAAUAAAUGGAGAAAAAAAGAAAGGUUAUUUAAAACAGAAACUUAGGUUUGGGAAAUUCUAAAUCUACAUGUAAGAAUAUUGCAGCAAGGCAGUUUUUAGGUUGUUUUUUCUCCAUUCUGCAAGGCUUGAGGCAAAGAGUAACCAGAACAUACAAAGUUCAGUUGGAUGUUGUGCAGAGUUUGGUUCAUUUGCAAGCAUUUAAAGGACUCAUUCAUAUACAAGGACAUUUCACUUCUAGAUUUAGAUUGAUUGGUCCAUAUGGUAAUAUGAGGAACUAAGUAUUGCAUCUUUUGGGAUUCUUUCUAAUAUAGGUUAGCGGCUUGAAAUUUAUUUGUUGGUUGUUAAAUAUUUGGUGUAUUGAUGAUCAAUUAGUAGUGUUCUUGUUAAUUAAAUAGAAGAAAGAAAAAAGGUUAUUUAGUAAAGAAACUUAGCUUCGAGAAAUCCCAAGAUUACUACUAAGCAUAUUGCAGCAUAAUUCAUUUGGAGGCUUUUUUACCAUUCUACAAGGCUCAAGGCCAAGAGUGACCAGAACAUACCAAGUCUAGUUCAUAGUUUGUUGGCUUUCUGCAGAGUUUGGUUCCUUCGCAGGCAAUUUGGGAGGACUUAUAUUCAAGGACGUUGCAUUUUGGGAUUUAAAUUGAAUGCCCAGAUGGCAACACAAGGAACUUAGUAUUGCAUCUUUUUGGAUUCUAUCUAAUCUAGCUGAGCUACUUGGCAUUUAUCUGUGGGUUUGUUAAAAUCUGCAGUAUUACCAAUGAUUUUGUGGUAGGCAAGAAGUAUUGUGGUUUUUAGAAUCUGAAAGUGAACUUCUGCAACCAGAUUUACAAGAUAGCAUAGCACAUUGUAGCAAGGUUCAUUUCAGGUGAGUUGUCCAGAAUUUUGUCCUUUGCUGAAAAUUAUAGGACUUUUAUUUAAUGACAUUGCUCUUUGUCAUUUUUGGCAUUUUAGGUGAUUUGAUUCAAAACAGUUGUUACUUGUUUUUGUUUUUCCCAAGUAUAUAGUUAUUCUUGUGGCAUUGGAUAGUGAAAAUUUUUAAAUGCUAAAAGACCUAGGCUUCAUCUUAUUAAUCCUCAAAUGGUGUAAUUUGCUAAAAGAGUGUGAUGGGAUCAUGGGACCAUCGUAAUAGAGUGAUGGACCAUAAUGAAGGCAGUGGUACUCAGAGUGAGCGUGGAUACACAUCUAUCGUGAGUGUGAACAUUUUUAGUAUUACAUUCUUUUUUUUUUCUUCCUCGAAGGUAGAAACACACACACACACACACACCCGCUGCACUCAAUGAUGCAGGAAGCAUCGAGAAACUGGCCUAACAGAGCAAUCUAAGAGGGACUCAUAGAGAAACCUUAUCCAGUCAAUUGGUGACAGGAAGGGUUCCCAUGGACCUUAAACCUAGAGUAAAGAUCCCACGAUCUUUCAAUUUGGGAUGGUGCAAGCCCUUCGAUCUUUUGAUAGUAUUACAUUCACUUGUGGAGUUUUAAGCAUGCAAUCGAUUAAUCUUGAGUUUUUUUUUUUAACAUAUGAUUUUUCCACCCCUCCUCGCUCCCAGCUGUAGGAUUCGAACUCUGAAUUUGACAGUGAAAAACUCUUAUAGCUUUCCCCCUAUUUUGAGUGAAUGUGUUUUAGAACACUUUGUUUAGAAAUUAUCGUAGUGUGAAAGUAUUUUUGGACGAUUACUAUUUUAUCGUAUUAUAAAAAAUUAAAAACUUUCUAUAACAAUUUUUUGUUUUAUAGCUAUGUUGGUAUUAAAAAUGUGGUUAAUUUGUUACAGAAAAAAAUAAAAAAGCAAUUAACUUUAAAUAAGAGUUAGUCUUGACGCUACAUUAUCACGAUUGAAUUCGGUGAUACGUCAAUAAAAUUUGUUCAAAUUUUACACAUAUAACAUAUUUAAAAUCGUUUCAUAAACAUUUUUUUUCCAAAGUUUCACAACAGAAAUAGUAGAGAGCCAUUAAUCCUACCCACAAAUUGCAAAUAUGAGCAAAGGCUGGGGUUUCAUUGCAAAUUUGCAAUGGACGCGAUUCUUUGAUAAGCUCUCCGAAUCUCUCCACAGUCCCCAGCAUAAACCCUGAAUCUCCAAUCCCGCAUAAGAACAAGACAAUCCUCUGAAUUCCUAGAACCCUAGAUCCCACAAUGGCCCUUCGCCUUAAGCUCCGAUCAAUCUUGCUGCUUCAAAACCACCGCCGUUUCUCAACCUCAAUCCUAAAUCCCAACUCAAAUACCCCACUGACCAGCAAGGAAAAGUCUCGGGCGGCGCUCUCUCUCCUUCGGGCCGAGAAGAACCCAGAACGAAUACUCGACAUUUGCCGCGCUGCUUCGCUGACUCCGGAAUCCCAUCUCGACCGCGUCGCCUACUCCAAAGCCAUUUCCAAGCUUAGGGACUUAAAUUACUUCAAUGGGAUUCGGUCUUUUGUCGAGGAAUCCAUGGCCCGGCCCGAUAUGAAGUCCGAGAGAUAUAUUUCCCAUUUUGUUGUUCUGUAUGGGCAGGCUGGCAUGGUUGCUGAUGCACGCAAGACGUUUGAGGAAAUGCACGAGAUCGGUCUCGAUAGAACGGUAAAAACACUUAAUGCUUUGCUGUUUUCUUGCGUUUUAGCCAAGGACUACAAGGAAAUGAAGCGGAUUUAUAUGGAAUAUCCAAAAAUUUAUGGGAUUGUCCCGAAUUUAGAUACUUACAAUACUGUGAUCAAAGGGUUUUGUGAGUCUGGUGAUUCGAGUUCUUGUUACUCGAUAUUGGCUGAAAUGGGUAGGAAAGGGGUUAAGCCGAAUGGGACAACGUUUGGGACGAUGAUUGCGGGAUUUUAUGAGGAGGAGAAAUUUGAGGAUGUCGGUAAAGUGUUGAAGAUGAUGAAAGAAGAGCAUAGCAUAACUCCUGGGACUAGUAUUUAUAACAUUAGGAUUCAGAAGCUGUGCAAGUUAAAGAGGUGUAGGGAGGCAAAAGCAUUGUUUGAGAGCAUCUUGUCGAGAGGCUAUAAGCCGAAUAAAGUAACUUAUCAUCACUUAAUUCACGGGUUCUGUAAGGAGGGAGAUUUGGAGGAGGCAAAAGGGUUGUUUGAGAGGAUGGUGAAGAGUGGGAUUAAACCCGAAGGCGAAUGCUAUUUCACUCUGGUUUACUUCCUGUGUAGAGGUGAGGACUUUGAGGCUGCACUAAAGAUCUGUAAAGAGUGUCUUGCAAAGGGUUGGGUUCCAAAUUUCACGACUAUGAAGUUGCUUGUGGAGGGUCUGGCUAGCAUUUCAAAGGUCGAUGAAGCAAAGGAGAUUAUUGGGCACCUAAAAAAGGAGUUCUCAGCAUAUGCUGAUCGGUGGACUGAGAUUGAAGAAGGAUUGGCAAAGUAGACAGGAUGAACAUGGUAGUCUAUUGAAUCUGCUUCUGCAUCAUACGAUGAUCAUACUGAGACCAAGUUAGAAAUAAUUUGUACGUAAUUUUUGUCUGGAUAGAAUUGUAGUUUUCUACUCAGUUAUGGUAGCUCGACAAGUUUUGAUUUUGAUAAUUUUGUUAUGAUCAGUUGCGCAGUUUAUUAAGGUGUUUUAUCAAUUAAACUAACUCUGCUGGAGAUAUAUGGUACACAAAUGCAGUUCAACGUAUCAUAUUUCCUUUCGCAUACAUUUGGAGAUACGUUUCAAUAACAUGAAUGUACGUACCGGUGCUGCUUUUUUUAUGUAUUAGGCUUCAGACAGGCUCAAGGACUCAGAAUUUUCACGAGAUAUUAUGCUUACAGGCUCCAAUCGUACUCUCUGAUUGAUGUUAGUGUGGGCAUUAAUUAUGCUGAAUGUGGCAUGUGUAGGAUCAUGCAUUGCGAUUCGGGUGUUCUUUUCAGCUGAAUAAACAUUCGUGCUUCUCAACCAAAGCCUUUACUCUCGAGGAAUUCAAUGGCCUAUAACCUGCGGCUAGGUUUAUUAGAAUCUUACAGGACGAGCAUCAUUUGCUGAAUGAAUAAUCUUUUCGAGACAAGUGGUUCACAAAUGCCAGAAUGUCAGUUCAUUAUUACAAUCCUGGGUUACUUGUUCGCCAAAGAAAGAAAAAACCAGUCCCCUCCUUGUACCGCUUUCUGGGUGCAAUGUGCGCUUUUAUUGACAAGCUGCAAGUCUGAGAAUUGCAUACGAGCAUGAAUAUUAAUCUGUCAUCAAUUGUUGUAAAUUCGAGGCUAUAGCAAAAGGCGUAAAAAGUGUUUUAUUUAAAAAAAAUAAAAUAAAAUUUGGCGUUCUCAUGUACAAUGAUUCUGUUAAGUACAAAAAUACAUCUGAAGCAUUACUUUCUCUUCCAAAAGAAAGAAAGAAAAAGAUAAAAAAUAUACAAGAAAAGUGAACAUAAACUCAUGACUCUGUUUAAAAAAAAAAAAGCAAAAACACAAAAUUCCAGCUCUGCUUUUGCUCUGGACCAGAAAAGCACAUAAAUUUAGGCUACAACGAAGUUGCCAUUGACUUGGACCCGGUCUUUAGGUGUUGUAUUCCAUAUGCGGCUGUUGAACCGACAGUUGUUAGAGCAACCAACCAACUGAGAAGCAUGCCAUGUGUUAUUCCGGUGUAAAAUGACACAAUUCUACUACAUGAAAUGCCAAACUACUUCCCCAAAGUAAAGUACCUCAGAUAUGUAAUGUAUGACUGUGUUUCCUCGCUACCAAAUUCUGGUUGCAGAAGAGCUGCAGCAACUAGGACCAAUUGGAGAACUGUGUUCAACUGUCAACAUAUAUAUCAGAACUUAGCUAAAAAGAAAUAAAAUUUAUAUUUAGGAUGAAUCAAGUGAGCAAUAUACAGCUGAUCCAAUACAGUCAUCCUAACAAUUUCCCGCACGUCCUCUCAUGAUAUUAGUGUGCUAAGUAAUCACUAGAAGCAGAUCCCGACUCAGUUAGCUUCCUCUUUUCUUUUUUCCCUGCUUAAAAUGACCUUGGUUUGCCACUGAAAACAACUUACUAACAUGCAGAUAGAGAUUUCAUCUUUUAGUUAUGAGAAACCCAUCCUUCCCUCUUCCUAUCUCUUCUUGGCACAUUUAAAGAGGACAUGAAGAAGCAUAUCAAACUGCUCUCACUAAAUUGAUGGAUUUCUGAUUAUUGUGCUGCAUCUUUUUCACCAAGUACCCAGGCCUGAGAAAAUGAACAUACCUUGCUUAUCAAGAGAGGUUCAACUUUCUCAGGGCAAGUCCCAUCAAGGUUGAAGAAAUCAAACCAACUCUUCCACUGUUACAAGAAUUUAACUCAAUAGUGUCAAGCAAAGAUAGAGCAGCUUAGUCAUAAAGAGCUUCAGGUAGAUCUCCCUCACCUGCCAUUGCAAACUGCUAGCUCUUUUAUAGACUGCCCCGCCAACAAGGGCAACAUCACGCAACACAACAAGCGCAACAAGUCCGGCUACAAAAGAUAAAAGACCAAUUGAAUAAGUUUCUAAAGAAAGGAUGAUAUUAUCUUCAAAAAUUUAAUUUUAAUCCUAGAAAUUUCUCUUGUAUCAGUUGGCCAUAUAACUGGCAGACUUGCAUAAAUAUAUCUUUGACAAAGUUUCUAGCUCAAAAGGUGGACAUCUCUUUUGUAAAGAAAAUUAACAUCACACAAAGGGGAAUAUCUGACAUACAAUUAUUUGGUACUAAGUAUACAGAAAAUAAAUUACUAAUUGUUUUAGAAAAAGAAAAAGAGUAAUUUUUUUGUCACCACACUGUUACUUGCAAUGUUACCAAUGGCAUUAGAUAUUUGAUCAGUAGUUCUUCGAUUUAAAAAAAAUGACAAAAAAGGCACAUACAAGUAGGAAACCAAUUACACACUUACGGUGCAGAAGACCUUUAUAAACCAUGCCCAAAGCAACAGAUCCAAUUAGUACCUGCACCCAUGAAUGCAAUGAAAUACUGAGAAAAAUUACACUAACCAAGUAAUGCUGUGAAAAAGAUGUCACAUUCAUUUAUUAGAAGUGUAAGACAAAAGGAAAACAAUAUUAAAAUUUUUUAAUGUAAUCGGGCAGCCAAGAAAAAGUUGAUUAUUACCUUGUCAGCAAGAGGAUCAAGGUAGGAACCCACCACAGAAUUGAUUCCCAUCUUCCUGGCCAAGUAACCAUCUAGCUACAAAAUUGGAAAAAUUAGAAGAUAUUGGCAUCCAUCCAGCUACAAGGAAGAUUGGAAAACUUAGAAGAUAUUGGCAUCUCCUCGUAUCAAACAUCCAAUAAUGACAAGACUAGAAUUCCCAUACCCAAUCAGUCACACCAGAGAUACCUAGACCAACAAAUGCUGAAAGAUACAUUUCAUGGGUGAUCAUCCUGCAAAGUCAAUUAGAACAAUACUUUAUAAUGGCCAAAUAUACAAGACAAGUUGAAUAAUAGAACUGUUGGUUAAGAGCACAGUUGAAUAACUGAAUGUAGAGGUGACUGAAUAAGCAUCUUACUCCUAUAACACUAUUCCCACAUGCAAUGAUAAGCAAACUAGACUGAAAUACUAUAGUACCAACCCAACACAUCAUAUUUCAACUCUAUUUGCCAAAGCAAAUGCAAACACGCGCACAAAGAGAAGAUAAACCUUUCAAGGAUUCUAGUACAAGCAUGUUUAGGAGAUAAUAAUGGGAUACUCAGUGCUAAAAUUUUGGCUUAAACUGUUAUAUAAUGUUCCUCAAGGCCAUGUGCUAUCAUAAACCUGAUCAAGAAACAAACAAUAAAUAAAAGGGGGAAAAAAGGAGGAAGCAGCAAAACAAAACCCAGUAAUAGAGGAUUACUCACAUAUCCUCAUCGAGGAUCAGUAUUGCAGAAAACAAAGAUCACUAUACUACUUUUGAUUCCUAAUGUAGUAUGCAAAGGUACAUUGUUACUAAACAACCGAUAAAUGUUGUGCAGGUUCAUAAUCCAACAGUCAUUAUUGUCUUUCAAGGUUGCCUGAAGCCUGGACUGCACUAAGAGAUAAAUCCUAAUUUCUUAGAACGACCACUUUCUCAUGUAUGUUUAGCAACUAAAAUCCGACUAAACAAAUUAGCAAGCAGUAAAAUUAUGGACUUUUACAAAUUAAUAUUCUUUACUUCUCCAUCUUGUUCAAUUAUGCUUGGAUACAUCACAGAGAAAAGGUUGUAAUUGAGUUUUACCAUAAAGUUUUCAGCAAAAUGUGGUUUUUCCCCUUCAUUUCACCAUCAAUAUCGAAAGCACGUAAACAUUUUAUAUUUUCCGCAUGAAUCAAAAAACCAACAAACAUAUUAAAUUCAUGAAUUUAAAAAAAGGGCCAAAUUUGAAAAAGAAAUAUACCAUCCAAGCAGUGGGCCGGAGACUAAUCGACCGAAAGAAAUAAAAUUGGGAAGAUUCAAAUAGCUAUCAGUAACUUUGACCAGAGCAUCAGAAUCAGUAUGAUCAAGCUUGGACCCAUUAAAUCCCUCACUAUAUUUCUUCUCCUUGCUGUUUAAAUCCUGAAACCGUAGUUUGUACGUAAUAAUGUUAUUCAGGGCAUAUGGGACCCUGGGUGAAAGAUUGAGCAAGGCGACGUCGCAUUGGAGGUGAAGGGGAGUGGCGGAUUGAGAUAGCUUCCAAGGGGGCGACGAGAGAAAUAGAGGGCCAAAAGUGGACGAAGGGAUAGGAGGGAGAAAAUGGGGCCGAAGAAAAAAUGGGUUUUUGAUAAUGUUACUAUUGGAAUUGUGGGAUAUGUAGGACUGGGAACUGGAGCAGAGGGAGACGAAGGUUCUAGCAGAAGAAGAAACAGAAUUAGGGUUUUGAAGCGGGGAUUUCGUGGAUUGGGAAAUUAGGGUUUUAAGGAUUGAUCGGAAGAAGGCCAUGGCCGAUGAUGGUCAAGCAUUGUUUUUGCAGUUGCAGAAAGGUGGAAGGACAGUUUGGAGGUUAGGGUUUUACAAAGGGUUUUAGAGGAAGAAGAUGACACGUGGCAAGUUUACACGUGUUACAGUCAGAGGAGCGGUUUUCUUUUUUGGUUUGGAAAAAUUUUUCCUUUUUGGGUUUCAUUCUCCUGGCUGUGCUAUUUCAAUUGUGUUAUUUGAGAUACGGCUAAGUAUUUCUAUUUUGAGUAUAUUUCUUGGAGUAAAUAAUGAAGAGAGUAAAAUGCAGUUUUCAAACCCAAAGUCUAACCGUUCAGUAAUUUUGGUACUCAACCAACUAGGAGUAGAUGGCCACCAUGGAGAGAUUUAAAGCUUUUCUUGGAUGUAGAGGAAGAGAUUAUUUGCAUUCUAAAAAAUCUAGAAUUUCCUGAAAAAUUUCGCCAGCAGAUACAUAAACUGAUAGGCACCCGAAUGGGUCUGUGGCGGUUCAAUUUUCUUCGAAUUUCCCGUUUUGAUCCCUUUGGUCCUUCUUUCCCUAGAUAGGAGUAGUUGUAGAAUGGAAUGUAUUGUAUGAAAAAAAAAGAGUAAUUUUGAUACUCAAACUUCACAAAAACAAAUUUGGUAUCUGACGUUAUAAAAUUUAAUCACAAUACACUCAAUGGAAUUCUUCACAUUCAUUCCUACUAGAAAAAAAUACAUGCUGUGUAUGUCAACAAAAUUAUAAACCAAUAUCAAAAAAAUUGGAAAACAACACUCAAACUAGAUUCCAAAGAAAGUUUCAAAACCUAAUAUUGAACGAAAAGAUCCAAAGAAAAACCUUUCUAUAUCUUUGUGACACUUUUGACUUGACUCUCAAUAUUUUUCAAUAUUUUCGAAUAUUUUUAAAAUUUUGCUAACAUACACAUGAUAGGAUGUGACUUUUUCCAAUAGGAAUUUUAAAAAAAAAUUUCCAUCAAGUGAAGUAUGCUUAAAUAUUAUAAUAUUGAGUACCAAAUUUGUUUUGAAAUAUAUUCUCUCUAAAUGAAAAUAUUUUUCUCUCUUUUUUUUUUUGCUUUGUCAACAAAUGUUACUAGGAACUACAUAAGAACAAUCAAAUAAAUUUGAUAGAUGAAGUUAUUGUUGUCCAAUAAAUAUAUGGGUUAUGGUAUGACGGGGUGUGGAUUUAACCCCUCUCGUUCAAAUACGGCAUGUUUCAUAAUUGAAUGAGCAAUUUAUUUAUCAAUGAAAGUAUAGUUUAUGUUGGUUUGGAACACCACAUGAGGUAUUCUUAGGGCUGCAAAUAAACCGAAUCGCUCGCGAAACUCGACUCGAGCUCGAACUCGAGUUCAAAAUAUUAAGCUCGAAUAUAUAUAUAUAUUUUUUAUUUUAAGUAUAUAUAUAUUUUUUAUUUUUUAUUUUAAGUGUAUAUAUAUUUAUUUUAAGUAUAAAAUUACAUAUAUAUCCUUAAUAUUUUAUUAUUUAUUAAGAAAAAAUAUUAUUUUAUUUAUUUUUUUAAAAAUAAAAUAAUUAUUUUUUUAUUUUUUUCGAGUUCGAGCUCGAGCUCGAGCUCAAUAAAAUUAAAUCAAGACUUGGCUCGAUUAGACCAAAACUCGACUCGACUUGACUCGUUUGCAGCCCUAGGUAUCCUUUUCUCUUGGUUGUAUGGGAUUUAGUGAUGAUUUUCCAUAAACGAGAACUGAGAAGCACCCAUUUAUUCUGCUUACCCAUCCAAUGCCAAGAAAGGAUUUAGUCAACUUUGCAAUAACUUGGUCAUAUUCAUACGAUAUAUCUAUAAUAGGAAAAAUUCUUCAAAACAUCCCUUAGAUUUCGUCAAAUAAAUUUUUUUUGUCUUUUAUUUUUAAAAUAAUAAUUUUCCAUCCCUUAUAGAAUCAAGUUGAUAAAAUUCGGCCCAACUUAAGUUUUCAACCAACUUUUAUUUUGAACCCACUCACACAUGAUCAUUUUUUCAGAGGCAAAAAGGUUUUAUCUCAUAUAUAAUUAAAUAAAUGGUUUAAUCCGUUGGUAUUUUUAACCCUAAAAAAGUAGGAUAUAACCCAACUUAUAUUCAUUUUUUUUCUAAAAAAUUGAGAUCUGACCUAAUCCAUAUUCAUUUUGCCACUAAAAAAUUGGGAUGUGAUGUGACCUUUUUGUACAUGAAAAAUGACUGCAAGCUGGUCUGUAGUAAUUUUAGGCUCAAAAGCGAUCGAAAAUUUAGAAUGGGAUCAAAUUUUGCUAAUUUGAAUUUUUAAGGGACAUAAAGUUAAUAUUUUAAAAAUAAAGGUUAAAAAAAAUCAUUUGACAAAAUAUGAGGGAGGUUUUCAACAAUUUCCAUUUAUAAUAUUCUCGUUUAUAAUAUUCCGCUUAUAAUAUUCUCGUACUUCUCUACCCAAGACUUUAACGAAUAUAACGGGCUUCCAAGUCAUUAGCUGCCUGAAAGUAGUUACUUCCACGACCCCAAUUGAGUUUCUUACCAAAUCUUCUUCCAACACUUUUUUUUUUCUUUCUUUUUUCCUGUGAAUGAACAACCUUCUUUAAGUUCAAAAACAAUACAUUCUUUAGCUUUCUUUUUCCUUUAUGAUGCCAGCUUGUAUUUAAUUAAUCUGAAAAUAUCCUUCGGCUCCGAGGAGAUAUUGAAACAUUACCUGGCAUUGUCAAUAAAUGAAAGAGAAAGAUGGAAAGAUACCACAUUUUAUGAUUGUUUUCGAACCUGAGAAGGUUUGUUGGGAAAAUCAAAAGGAGGGGUGUGGAAGGAGAUGAGAUUAUUGGCCUGUUGCACAAUGCAGCGCAGCACCACAAUGAGGAAGGCACCUUUGAAAGCAUCUAAGAGUUCUAUCAACGACGUGAAGAUCUCCAAGAAAUAUGAUGACUCUGAUGCAUUGUCCACCAUUGUCAGAAGUGUUUCUCUGAAUACAGGUUACCCCAGCCAAACAAUAUUUCAUCUCUUGUCUUUCAUUUUCGAGCUUUUUUUUUCCCCUUUUUGUUUGGCGAUUUAUGUAUCUGAUAGGUUUAAUCUAUACAAAGUAUGUGCAUUUUACACCUGAACAUGGUUUUUGCAAGUGUGCAGAAAAUGUCAAAUGUUACUUUGUGCUCCAGCAUUCUUAACAGACUUAAUAAUGUUUGAUCAAUCCUCUUUUUUGACGUUAAGGCUUGUAGGAAAUAACUGAAUGCAUUAAAAUUGAUCACCUUGUUAAGAACAAGAAGAUUUCAACACAAUUUCCUCACCACACUAGAUUCUUCUUCCCAAAUGCACAAGCGCAAGCCUUUGCAACAUAGAGAUUAUGAGAUUGCAGGAAUAUAAGCUGAUUGUCUUGUUGCUUAAGAUUUAUCUUGUUAUAACCCGUAUUAUACACACGGGUGUGAUGAUCUAUACAGGCCCUAGUAAACAAAGAACAGUAGCUGAGGACAUACUUCGUUAUGGACAUGUUAAAGUUGCAGCAGAGGUAUUCACAUUUCGCGAACUCGCAGCUGCAACGGACAAUUUCAAUUCUGAACUACUGGUGGGAGAAGGAGGAUUUGGAAGGGUCUAUAUGGGACGCCUCAAGAAAACCGAUCAAGUAUCUCUCUCUCUCUCUGUCUCUCUCUCUCUCUCUCACACACACACACACAUAUUUGAAGUAUCAUGACCAUCCUUGUUCCCAUUUAAAGGUUGUUGCAGUCAAGCAACUUGACAGGAAUGGAUUUCAAGGAAAUAGGGAGUUUCUAGCAGAAGUUCUGACACUAAGCCUUGUUCACCACCCAAACCUCGUAAAUCUCAUAGGGUAUUGUGCUGAUGGCCGCCAAAGAAUUUUGGUCUACGAGUACAUGCGUAAUGGAUCACUAGAAGAUCACCUCUUUGGUAAGCACAAUAUUAAGUUCGGGGACAGCGACAUUUCCCAUGGAGAAUGAUCCCAAGAAGCAGUAUCAAUUAUUUGUCAAAACAUACAUUAUUGUUUUGGUUUUAUCCUUCGACAACAUGCUAAUUGGUCAAUAGUAUAAAGAUUGUUUGUGCUUUAUGUCUUACAUUACAUUCUAAUGAUGUUAUCUGUUUUUCAGAUAUUCCUCCACAUAAGAAGCCUCUAGAUUGGUUUACUCGGAUGAAAAUAGCUAAAGGUGCAGCACAAGGACUCGAGUACUUGCACGACACAGCCAACCCACAAAUCAUCUAUCGCGAUCUAAAAGCAUCUAACAUCUUAUUAGAUGAUGAGUUUAAUCCUAAGCUCUCUGAUUUUGGACUUGCUAAGUUAGGUCCAACAGGAGACAAAGAUCAUGUCUCCACCAGGGUAAUGGGGACCUAUGGCUACUGUGCUCCAGAGUAUGCAAUGACAGGCCAACUGACGACGAAAUCUGACAUCUAUAGUUUUGGGGUGGUCUUGUUGGAGAUCAUCACAGGAAGGAGAGCUAUCGAUAAUACAAGGCCUACAGCAGAGCAGAACCUGAUUUCUUGGGUUAGUUUCUGGAUUUGCUAUUUUUGAAUUGACUAAAGAAGCUUCGGCACUUAUUUCUAUAACUUAAAGAACCAGUAACCAAGCCAUCUUUCGUUCUGAGAUACCUUAAUGUUCAUUUGGAUAAUUGGAUGCAAGAUUUUUUUGGGUUCAGUAUUCUGCACUAACAAUUUGAAAGUCAAAAGGCAAAUAUUCUACACGUCUGUCUGCAGGAGUAAUCAUGUCAAUUGGAGUAAUAGCUAUACUAUACUAUGGUACUGAACAAGAAACGUUUCAAUAUAGUUUAUUUGUAUAAAUUUUUAUUGUCAUGUUGAAUACAUGUGCAAGGCAGGUGCAUUUUCCUAGUUCAUGUAAAAUGGGGUAAUAGCUAUACUAUGGUACUUACCAAGAAAUGUUUCCCAACAAUGUAGUUGGUUUUAACAUUCUUUGAUUGUCAUUUAGUUUGCCCAUGAUUUUGUUCUCAUUCUUGCAGGCAAAACCUUAUUUUAAAGAUAGAAGACAAUUUACAUUCCUGGCUGACCCUUUGCUGGAAGGGGAUUACCCUGUAAAGUGUCUUCAUCAAGCUGUUGCUGUUGCGGCUAUGUGCCUCCAAGAUGAAGCUAGCACCAGGCCUUUCAUUGGCGAUGUUGUUACUGCUCUCGAGUAUCUAGCCAUGAGCACAGAUGAAAGCUUCAGCGACGAAGAAGAAGCGAUAGAUUUUCAGUAGACAUAGAAAAUCAUUUGCUGACACUCAUAGAGUCAGAAAAUUAAAUGAGGCCAUAGACAUUCCUAUCCCAUUGAGAAGGUAUCCUUAUAUGAGAAGGUAUCCUUAAUUGACCUAUCCCAUUUUGCAUUUGACAGGAAGAAAAAAGGAAAAAGAGAGAAACAGGAAGAAGAAAAAUGGUAAUUGACGACUUUUGGGAAGUCACAAGUUGUAUAGUACCCUCAAAGGAGGGGGUUAAGAGUGUUUCUAGCCAUUGAGAGACAAAGUAUUAAACAGUUCCCUGUUAUGAAGUCUGUAGGUUAUCAUCUUAUCUGUCAAAAGAUUAGCUAAUGGUUGCUCUAUUUGCAUUGAUGCUUCAGUAUCCUCAUUAGAUAUAAGCACAUGUACCUCAGUACAUUGACAUUUGAACAUUAAAAAGCACAUUUUCUUGAAUCUUCCACCUGCAACCUAUAUCUGUUACUUCACAUAAAGGAAUCCGAACUGGUAAGUUUCUAAAUUCAAUGCAGCAUAAUGUGCCUGCUACAGAACCUUAUACAUGAUCACUUAAACACCUGAAUACAUAAAAAUUCAGAACACAACAAUGUAGUUGUAUUUGUUUGAAAUAAGCCUGGAAACAGUUGUAGGAUAUCAUGCUUUUAACCUUGGAAAUGUGCAGCUUGACAAGCAGAAAUUACACUAGUUAAAUGGAGUUACCCGUGACUGCAUAAACAUGUUUACAUUCAAUUGAUACUUCUAAGUUCCUGUCUAGCGUACAACUAAAUAUCAAAUUACAUGAAGAAAGGGGACAUGAACCAAGUACAUGGUCAAUAUAAAAGUAAUCUUCUCUUUGAUGAACCAAGAGAAAGAAAAAGAGACAGAAAAGGUCCUCUUAGCUAGAGGCAGUGAGGAUCUUGAGGUAGCACUAUUUGGGAUCAGUGCCUUCAGACUCGGAUGGCCAAGCAACAACUGAUCUGGCUUUUGUUAAAGACCACAAAAACCAAUUGCAUAUGUGACAAAUUCCUAAACAGGGACACCAUGUACAAGUGUACAACCAAUUGCCCUCUUCCUGUAAAGGUCCUCAAUCUUUAAGGGAAGCUGUUAUGAGAAAGUAAACGUCAUACAUGAUCCUCAUACCUGCGGAAGGUACUACUCAUCAAUAAAAACAUACCAAGUGAAGUACUUCAGCACGGUACCAUACCAGUGGCUGGAGGUUCAUUACCUGAGGAAUUAUACUGAAGCAUGAAAAAGUUGAGAUAAAGGAACUGAAUCACAGUUUCUGAUAUUCACAGGCAACUUUUUGACGUGUAUCAUUUAAUUUUGAUGCUAAAUAAACAUGGAAAAUCAGGUCCCAUAAGAUAGGAAGUCCAUGAGAAAGAUAGAAUGUUAUCUGAAAACUUUCUCCUGCCUAACAACCUUAUGAAGCAUCAAACUAAUGCUCCAUAAGACUAUGGUACUAGACCUCAAACUCCUUCAUAUCAGCUCUGAGAUUUCUAUAACUGAACCGAGGAAAUUCACCCAAUCGAUGGCUGUCGGAUACUUCCACCAUUGAGCACAUGCCUGGUCGCACACCAGAACCUGUACCUCCUCUUCUUUUCUUCCUCCUCCAUGUCAAAUUCAAGAACCUGAAACUAGGCCAGGAUUUAAUUCCAGUGGAUGUGAAGUCCUGGACAUGUCUCUGAGGUUGUACAGAGCUUCCACAGCAGUCUACUUCCAGUCUUCGGAAAUACUCAAUCUCCUUCUUGAGAAGUGAUCCAACCGUCCCCCUUGUGCCAACUUCAACUGGAGCACCUGUACCCAUUUGUUCAGGCAACUUGCUAGUUAUGUUGCUGACACUAUAUAUCGUUUGUCUGUACACUGCCAUGGCACCAAAGAAUUGGUAUGGAAGAAAGGUUGUUUGAAGCCUUUUAGGUCCUUGUCUUUGAUGAAAGUGUGCUUUUAAGUUUGGAUCACCUCAUCUUUGAUUUGCUUUACUACAUGCUUUAUCCAAAGUGGACAGCAUGGGAAGUAUGAUUAUAAAAGCAGCAGUGGGAAUAUGAUCAUCAUAUAUGUUUGCAAUCAAAGCAAAUAAAAAGUCCUAAC
rnacentral:lncRNA from 1 species